rnacentral:rRNA from 1 species
GAUGAACGCUGGCGGCGUGCCUAAUACAUGCAAGUCGAGCGAACAGAUGAGGAGCUUGCUCCUCUGACGUUAGCGGCGGACGGGUGAGUAACACGUGGAUAACCUACCUAUAAGACUGGGAUAACUUCGGGAAACCGGAGCUAAUACCGGAUAAUAUAUUGAACCGCAUGGUUCAAUAGUGAAAGACGGUUUUGCUGUUACUUAUAGAUGGAUCCGCGCCGCAUUAGCUAGUUGGUAAGGUAACGGCUUACCAAGGCGACGAUGCGUAGCCGACCUGAGAGGGUGAUCGGCCACACUGGAACUGAGACACGGUCCAGACUCCUACGGGAGGCAGCAGUAGGGAAUCUUCCGCAAUGGGCGAAAGCCUGACGGAGCAACGCCGCGUGAGUGAUGAAGGUCUUCGGAUCGUAAAACUCUGUUAUUAGGGAAGAACAAAUGUGUAAGUAACUAUGCACGUCUUGACGGUACCUAAUCAGAAAGCCACGGCUAACUACGUG